rnacentral:tRNA from 1 species
AUUUCUGAAGUUUAAAGAUUUAAAUAAUUUAAUUUCACUAAAUAGAUUGGAUAGAGUCCCAGAAAUU